CCUACGGGCGGCAGCAGUGGGGAAUAUUGGACAAUGGGCGAAGGCCUGAUCCAGCCAUGCCGCGUGUGUGAAGAAGGCCUUCGGGUUGUAAAGCACUUUCAGUGGGGAAGAAAGCCUUGGGGCUAAUACCCUCGAGGAAGGACAUCACCCACAGAAGAAGCACCGGCUAACUCCGUGCCAGCAGCCGCGGUAAUACGGAGGGUGCGAGCGUUAAUCGGAAUUACUGGGCGUAAAGCGCGCGUAGGCGGUCUGAUAAGCCGGUUGUGAAAGCCCCGGGCUCAACCUGGGAACGGCAUCCGGAACUGUCAGGCUAGAGUGCAGGAGAGGAAGGUAGAAUUCCCGGUGUAGCGGUGAAAUGCGUAGAGAUCGGGAGGAAUACCAGUGGCGAAGGCGGCCAUCUGGACUGACACUGACGCUGAGGUGCGAAAGCGUGGGUAGCAAACAGGAUUAGAUACCCUGGUAGUC
rnacentral:rRNA from 1 species